ACCUACGGGGGGCAGCAGUAGGGAAUAUUGCACAAUGGGCGCAAGCCUGAUGCAGCAACGCCGCGUGCGCGAUGAAGGCCUUCGGGUCGUAAAGCGCUUUUCGGGGAGAUGAGGAAGGACCGUAUCCCCGGAAUAAGUCUCGGCUAACUACGUGCCAGCAGCCGCGGUAAAACGUAGGAGGCAAGCGUUAUCCGAAUUUACUGGGCGUAAAGCGUGUGCAGGCGGAUUGGUAAGUUGGGUGUGAAAUCUCCCGGCUCAACUGGGAGAGGUCGCUCAAGACUGCCAAACUGGAGGGCGGUAGAGGGAGGUGGAAUUCCGGGUGUAGUGGUGAAAUGCGUAGAUAUCCGGAGGAACACCUGUGGCGAAAGCGGCCUCCUGGACCGUACCUGACGCUGAGACACGAAAGCUAGGGGAGCGAACGGGAUUAGAUACCCUUGUAGUCC
rnacentral:rRNA from 1 species